rnacentral:rRNA from 2 species
CACUUCUGCAGUCGACGAACUCUGGUAUUGAUUGGUGCUUGCAUCAUGAUUUACAUUUGAGUGAGUGGCGAACUGGUGAGUAACACGUGGGAAACCUGCCCAGAAGCGGGGGAUAACACCUGGAAACAGAUGCUAAUACCGCAUAACAACUUGGACCGCAUGGUCCGAGUUUGAAAGAUGGCUUCGGCUAUCACUUUUGGAUGGUCCCGCGGCGUAUUAGCUAGAUGGUGGGGUAACGGCUCACCAUGGCAAUGAUACGUAGCCGACCUGAGAGGGUAAUCGGCCACAUUGGGACUGAGACACGGCCCAAACUCCUACGGGAGGCAGCAGUAGGGAAUCUUCCACAAUGGACGAAAGUCUGAUGGAGCAACGCCGCGUGAGUGAAGAAGGGUUUCGGCUCGUAAAACUCUGUUGUUAAAGAAGAACAUAUCUGAGAGUAACUGUUCAGGUAUUGACGGUAUUUAACCAGAAAGCCACGGCUAACUACGUGCCAGCAGCCGCGGUAAUACGUAGGUGGCAAGCGUUGUCCGGAUUUAUUGGGCGUAAAGCGAGCGCAGGCGGUUUUUUAAGUCUGAUGUGAAAGCCUUCGGCUCAACCGAAGAAGUGCAUCGGAAACUGGGAAACUUGAGUGCAGAAGAGGACAGUGGAACUCCAUGUGUAGCGGUGAAAUGCGUAGAUAUAUGGAAGAACACCAGUGGCGAAGGCGGCUGUCUGGUCUGUAACUGACGCUGAGGCUCGAAAGUAUGGGUAGCAAACAGGAUUAGAUACCCUGGUAGUCCAUACCGUAAACGAUGAAUGCUAAGUGUUGGAGGGUUUCCGCCCUUCAGUGCUGCAGCUAACGCAUUAAGCAUUCCGCCUGGGGAGUACGGCCGCAAGGCUGAAACUCAAAGGAAUUGACGGGGGCCCGCACAAGCGGUGGAGCAUGUGGUUUAAUUCGAAGCUACGCGAAGAACCUUACCAGGUCUUGACAUACUAUGCAAAUCUAAGAGAUUAGACGUUCCCUUCGGGGACAUGGAUACAGGUGGUGCAUGGUUGUCGUCAGCUCGUGUCGUGAGAUGUUGGGUUAAGUCCCGCAACGAGCGCAACCCUUAUUAUCAGUUGCCAGCAUUAAGUUGGGCACUCUGGUGAGACUGCCGGUGACAAACCGGAGGAAGGUGGGGAUGACGUCAAAUCAUCAUGCCCCUUAUGACCUGGGCUACACACGUGCUACAAUGGAUGGUACAACGAGUUGCGAACUCGCGAGAGUAAGCUAAUCUCUUAAAGCCAUUCUCAGUUCGGAUUGUAGGCUGCAACUCGCCUACAUGAAGUCGGAAUCGCUAGUAAUCGCGGAUCAGCAUGCCGCGGUGAAUACGUUCCCGGGCCUUGUACACACCGCCCGUCACACCAUGAGAGUUUGUAACACCCAAAGUCGGUGGGGUAACCUUUUAGGAACCAGCCGCCUUGCC